AAUGCUUCUUGGUGUUUUGGCUAAGAUCAAGAUUAGUCCUUAUCAGUCUAAUAUCUGAUACAUCCUCCAUCCUAGGACAAUAUAUUACAUGGAUUUUUGGAAAUAGGACUUGGAAUAGGAGUUUACUCCGUACACACCACACAUCAACCUGGUAUUGCAGUUCUUCAAGGAAUGGUACACUCUUU